AUCCUUUUGUAGUUGAUAAGUGUAAUGCUUGGGUGUUCACUCUCUUGUGUGAGAUGUGCCUCCCUCAAACCUUGUUAUGACAUCGGCACAUUACCUGUCUGACA
rnacentral:snoRNA from 1 species